rnacentral:rRNA from 1 species
UAAAAAAAGGUAAGCUACUAAGAGCGAAUGGUGGAUGCCUUGACUGGUAAAGGCGAUGAAGGACGUACUAGACUGCGAUAAGCUACGGGGAGCUGUCAAGAAGCUUUGAUCCGUAGAUUUCCGAAUGGGGCAACCCAAUGUAUAGAGAUAUACAUUACCUAUAUAGGAGCGAACGAGGGGAAUUGAAACAUCUUAGUACCCUCAGGAAAAGAAAUCAAUAGAGAUUGCGUCAGUAGCGGCGAGCGAAAGCGCAAGAGGGCAAACCCAGUGCUUGCACUGGGGGUUGUAGGACUGCAAUGUGCAAGAGGUAAGUUUAGCAGAACAUUCUGGAAAGUAUAACCAUAGAGGGUGAUAGUCCCGUAUGCGAAAAACAAACCUUAGCUAGCAGUAUCCUGAGUAGGGCGGGACACGAGGAAUCCUGUCUGAAUCCGGGUCGACCACGAUCCAACCCUAAAUACUAAUACCAGAUCGAUAGUGCACAAGUACCGUGAGGGAAAGGUGAAAAGAACUGAGGUGAUCAGAGUGAAAUAGAACCUGAAACCAUUUGCUUACAAUCAUUCAGAGCCCUAUGUAGCAAUACAGGGUGAUGGACUGCCUUUUGCAUAAUGAGCCUGCGAGUUGUGGUGUCUGGCAAGGUUAAGCAAACGCGAAGCCGUAGCGAAAGCGAGUCUGAAUAGGGCGCUUAGUCAGAUGCUGCAGACCCGAAACGAAGUGAUCUAUCCAUGAGCAAGUUGAAGCUAGUGUAAGAACUAGUGGAGGACUGAACCCAUAGGCGUUGAAAAGCCCCGGGAUGACUUGUGGAUAGGGGUGAAAGGCCAAUCAAACUUCGUGAUAGCUGGUUCUCUCCGAAAUAUAUUUAGGUAUAGCGUUGUGUCGUAAUAUAAGGGGGUAGAGCACUGAAUGGGCUAGGGCAUACACCAAUGUACCAAACCCUAUCAAACUCCGAAUACCUUAUAUGUAAUCACAGCAGUCAGGCGGCGAGUGAUAAAAUCCGUCGUCAAGAGGGAAACAA